rnacentral:rRNA from 1 species
CCCUUAGAUGUUCUGGGCCGCACGCGCGCUACACUGUUCGACGCAGCGAGUCUUAACCUUGACCGAAAGGUUUGGGUAAUCUUCAGCAAAGUCGAACGUGAUGGGGAUCGAUCAUUGAAAUUAUUGAUCGUGAACGAGGAAUUCCUAGUAAGUGCAAGUCAUCAGCUUGCGCUGAUUACGUCCCUGCCCUUUGUACACACCGCCCGUCGCUACUACCGAUUGAAUGGUUUAGUGAGAUCUCUGGAUUGACGCUGGCUAGGGGGCGACCCUUGGCCAGACUGUUGAGAAACUGCUCAAACUUGAUCAUUUAGAGGAAGUAAAAGUCGUAACA